UGGGGUAACAAGUCAUGUGGAUAGGCAAGAAUGCAGUAAGGUUUUUUGACACUGCCUCAAAUGGCAUUUUCAUAAGUAUCCAGGGAAUUGUGGUCUGAAUCAUGGGCCUCUAACUUUGCUGGGCUUGAUGAACAAUACUGAAAAAAACCCUGCAUUGCCUUCCUUGUCAGCUUUGUUUUGAAGGUCUCAUGAGCACCCUGCUGCCCAAGAGCCUUGUCUAAGGGACCACUGACUUUCAAUGAGGCUGCUGCAAGAUGCCCUCAGUGCUGCUUGGAAAAUGACAGCCAAGAACCAGAUGUCAGCAGUUUGAUAUUGUCUGAAAGGGUUUAUCAGGUGCUGUCAGAAGAAAACAGGUGCAAAGAAAAAUGCAACUCCAGGCUCACUCCAGUUAGAGAUGUCACAUAAAUGGAGAACAUGAAAAUGAGAAAGGUUCAAGUGGCUUCUGUAACUGCCUGCUGAGGCUCUUGGAGGUGAAUGCAGUGGGCAUGUGGCAGGAUCUGCACCCGUCCUCCCUGCUCUCUGUGGUGAACUAGAUACAGCUUUUAGGUUUUAACCAUCAUCACAACUGCAGGCUGCUGUGGUUUCAGCAAAGUCAUAUAACCUCAUGCUGUGCUGACAUUAAUACAGAUCACUUCAAUUAAUAGAGAUAACUUUGCUCUCGUUGGCAAACUGUCAUUUAAACAUGGUGUGGGAGGGGGGAGAUGAAGAGCUUUCCAUUGACCUGUUUUUUGAAGAUGCUUAGACCUUUUCCCAAAGAAGGUAAAAUUGUCAUUGAUAAAUGAUGAUCUGUACGUUCCAGCAUUAAUUAUUUAAAUUCCAUUAACUUAAUAAUAGUAUGCAAUAAGUCUUCCUGCACAGCCUUUUAGUUUUCCUCCUUUUUAUUAAAUUGGUGUUUUGAUUGAUUUGGGUUAUUUUAGCAUGGAAUAAAAAUGGGGCUGAGGCCA
rnacentral:lncRNA from 1 species